rnacentral:lncRNA from 1 species
CAUCUCCCUGUGCUUCAAUAUCUCUCUGCAGACAGGAGAUAAAUGUCAUUGCCUGACUCCUGGGGAUCUGCUGAGGACGAGGCCAAAGUGGAUUAAAUAGCUGCUAAUCUUCAAUCAUUCAGCAUUUCCCUGGGAUCAGGGUUUGAGGAUGGCAUUGGCGUGCCGACAUUUCAGCCUCCGGUUCCUUAAUGACAGUAAACCCCAGGGAAUCUCAGAAACCCAGAACUGCCUCAGUUCACAAAAGAUGGAAGAACACUGUAAUUAACGAAAUACAGAAAAGAUUUGGCUUCAUUUCCAAGAGAAUCAGACGAGUCCAUCAGUCUCCACUGCCUUUUGUGGGCUCUCUGUGCCGUACGCAGCCCAUGCCGUGCCUGCCCAGGGGUUACCUGCCCAUGCAGGUGAGCACCCAAAGGCAGCACCCACUGGUGGGUGCACAGACAGUCCAUGCACAGUUUGUCAUCACUGCACCUCGGACACAGCUCAAAUGUGGGCAGCAGCACAGAUCCUGUGUGCUCAGGGUGAUGGCUGGGAGGGAUGCGGGGAAGCUCAAUGUGAGCAGAAGAAACAAAUGGUCAAUGAACGAGUAUUUAGGAGGGCAGUGAUGAAUGGGAACUGCCCUGAGCAAUUCAAUGAAAAAUUCAAUGGGAGGUGAAAAACGCUGAAAAUGGGGUGGAUGAGGGAAAACACUGCCCGGAAGGGCCUUGUGAAAAUCUCUGUGUGGCACAGAGAUCUCUGUGUGGCUGGUAACCACCACAAAGCAUCUGUAGGGCUUUGGGAGGAUUCCUCACUGGUGGGGCCGGGUGCAAGCAAGGAUUUAUUUGGUAGUUUUGUGUUGAAAUAUACAUCAGUGCUAGCAACAGCAGGUCUGACUGUAAUGAGCUUAAUGAAUGUGGCACAAGGGAUGUUUCAGGUAGAAGGCGAAAUGUGGGAUUUCUUGUGUGUAUAAUUAGGAUGCUCGGCAGCUGGGUAAGCUUUAAUUGCCAUCCAAAGCUCCUGAUCUUGCCAAAGAAUGAAGAGUGUGAAGAGAGCUAUUGAUUUCCAUCUGGACAAACAAUUUACUUUUUAGUGCUCAUCAGCCUGAUGUGUAUCUUCAUUCCCUGUCACUGCUGUGAUCAAGCUAAAGCUGCUUUCAUCGGCAGAUUUCAGGUGGGAUUUCAGCUGAAUAUGUGGUUAGAAUUGCAAGGCGUUAAUGGUAAAAACUGACUCACCACACUGGCAGUGCUCAAUAUGCUGUUAGUUUUGAAAAUCUCCACCUAUCUAGGUCCUUAUAUAAAGCACCUCUUUGCCGUAACGUCCAGUUGCAUCCCAAAAAUAAAACAGGCACAGAAAGAGCCUUCUUCUCUCCC